rnacentral:rRNA from 1 species
ACUCCUACGGGAGGCAGCAGUGGGGAAUAUUGCACAAUGGGCGCAAGCCUGAUGCAGCCAUGCCGCGUGUGUGAAGAAGGCCUUCGGGUUGUAAAGCACUUUCAGUCGUGAGGAAGGUAGUGUAGUUAAUAGCUGCAUUAUUUGUACGUUAGCGACAGAAGAAGCACCGGCUAACUCCGUGCCAGCAGCCGCGGUAAUACGGAGGGUGCGAGCGUUAAUCGGAAUUACUGGGCGUAAAGCGCAUGCAGGUGGUUUGUUAAGUCAGAUGUGAAAGCCCGGGGCUCAACCUCGGAAUAGCAUUUGAAACUGGCAGACUAGAGUACUGUAGAGGGGGUAGAAUUUCAGGUGUAGCGGUGAAAUGCGUAGAGAUCUGAAGGAAUACCGGUGGCGAAGGCGGCCCCUGGACAGAUACUGACACUCAGAUGCGAAAGCGUGGGAGCAAACAGGAUUAGAUACCCCGUGUAGACUGUCA